rnacentral:rRNA from 1 species
GACGAACGCUGGCGGCGUGCUUAACACAUGCAAGUCGAGCGGUAAGGCCCUUUCGGGGUACGACGAGCGGCGAACGGGUAGGAGUAACACGUGGGUGACCUGCCCUCCAGCUCUGGGAGUAAGACCCGGGAAACCGUAGGGUCGUAAUACUGGAUAUGACUCCACGGUGCAUGCCGGUGGGGUGGAAAGCCUUGUGCGGCUGAGGAUGGGCCCGCGGCCUAUCAGCUUGUUGGUGGGGUGAGGCCUACCAAGGCGACGACGGGUAGCCGGCCUGAGAGGGCGACCGGCCACACUGGGA